AUGAGGUCAUAAUGAACUAGGGUGGGCUAACCCAAUGACCAGGUGUCCUUAUAAGAGGAGAAAAAACUAGAUGUAGAGACACACAGAGAGAAGAUGGCCAUGCAAAGACAGAGGCAGAAAUUGGAGUGAUGUAGCUACAAGGCAAGGGAUGCCAAUGAUUGCCAGCAACCACUAAAAGCUGGGAAGAGGCAGGGGAGGGUCCUUCUCCAGAGCCUUCAGAAGGAACAUAGCCCUGAAGACUCCGUGGUUUUGCACUUCUAGUCUUCAUAACUAAAACACAGACAUUGGAAGACGUAUGAGACUACGGAAACUAAUUUUCUCAAGGUCAACAAAUAGAGUUGGAAAAUAACGAAGGAACAAAGAAAUGCUGACAGAAAAUGAAUUUCAUACUCCAGUAGUGUUACCAAACUACAUUUCCCCAUCAUGGUAGCCUAAGCCAGGAAGUGGAGAAAAGAGAAGGAUGUCAUUAAGUGGAAAAUAAUCAGGGCAUUUUGAGAGUGGUGUUUUUGGCCGUCGAGAUAAGUCAGUCAUUCUGAGGUAUGGAUGGACAGAGAGCAAGCACUGGCAAGAACAAGAAGAGACGAAUAGGUCGGGCUCUCUCUGUGGGUAUAAAACUCUGAGCAGUUCACUUCAAUUCAUUGGAUCUUGGUGGGCCUCAGACCCACUAAUUACUAUAGUUUCUUGAGGCCUCAAGGUUCAUUUUCUAAAGAAGAACUCCGGCCACGUUCAUUUAUAGCUAUCUUUUAAAAAUACCCAAAUCUGGCUGCGCAGUGGCUCACGCCUGUAAUCCCAGCACUUUGGGAGGGUGAGGUGGGAGGAUUGCUUUAGACCAGCAUGGGCAACACAGCAAGACCCCAUCUCUACAAAAAAUAAAUAAAUAAAUAAAAAUUA